GAGGGUUUCCUAGUGGCGAACGGGUGAGUAACGCGUUGGUGACCUGCCCCAAAGAAGGGGAUAACAGUUCGAAAGAAUUGCUAAUACCCUAUGUUAUCAGUUGGAUUAGAUGCCUUCUGAUUAAAGGAGUAAUCCGCUUUGGGAGGGACCUGCGUCCCAUCAGCUAGUUGGUAGGGUAACGGCCUACCAAGGCAAUGACGGGUAGGGGACCUGAGAGGGUGACCCCCCACAAUGGCACUGAAACACGGGCCAUACACC
rnacentral:rRNA from 1 species